CAGAAUGUCGCGGUGAAUACGUUCCCGGGCCUUGUACACACCGCCCGUCACACCAUGAGAGCUGGUAACACCCGAAGUCCGUGAGGUAACCGUAAGGAGCCAGCGGCCGAAGGUGGGAUUAGUGAUUAGGGUGAAGUCGUAACAAGGUAGCCGUAGGAGAACCUGCGGCUGGAUCACCUCCUUUCUAAGGAGA
rnacentral:rRNA from 1 species